rnacentral:lncRNA from 1 species
GUUUAUUUCAAAAUACUUACAUUUUGUCAGAGAAAAAACUACCGUAUAGCCUAAACCUUAAUCUGAGCAGGGGUUUUAAGCCUAAACAAAACCAGUUUUAAUGCUGGAAUUAGAGAUUUGAUUAAUUUAUGGAAUUUCGCCGCACAGGUGAAGCGUGUGUUGGGAUUCGGAGAGAAGAUUCAUCCUAUGACUUUGAGCUGCCCAACGCUGUAGCCGUGAACAUGCAAAACCUUGCGUGUGAUGCAGAAUGGACCAUUGAUAAAUACACAAAGACCCUCAAUUGUUCUUGCACCAAUGCCACAGACAGCAAUUCCAUUUUUCGCACAAUUCUGCCAUCUAGAGAAACCUCCUCCUCUGCCAUGAAAACUGGUUUAUUAAAGAGACAACACUACGGCUGCACCAUUGCUGUUGCUUCCACUUUUGUCCCAGUACUUGUCAUUUUGGUGUACAUCAUCUGCAGGACAAACAGGUAUUUAACAUACAUUUUGUAAUAAUGCCAUAUGCACA